rnacentral:rRNA from 1 species
GACGAACGCUGGCGGCGUGCUUAACACAUGCAAGUCGAACGGAAAGGCCCUGCUUUUGUGGGGUGCUCGAGUGGCGAACGGGUGAGUAACACGUGAGUAACCUGCCCUUGACUUUGGGAUAACUUCAGGAAACUGGGGCUAAUACCGGAUAGGAGCUCCUGCUGCAUGGUGGGGGUUGGAAAGUUUCGGCGGUUGGGGAUGGACUCGCGGCUUAUCAGCUUGUUGGUGGGGUAGUGGCUUACCAAGGCUUUGACGGGUAGCCGGCCUGGGAGGGGGACCGGCCACAAUGGGACUGAGAUACGGCCCAGAUUCCUACGGGAGGCAGCAGUGGGGAAUAUUGCACAAUGGGCGGAAGCCUGAUGCAGCAACGCCGCGUGCUGGAUGACGGCCUUCGGGUUGUAAACCGCUUUCGCCUGUGACGAAGCGUGAGUGACGGUAAUGGGUAAAGAAGCACCGGCUAACUACGUG